CUGCUGCCUUCCGUAGGAGUCUGGUCCGUGUCUCAGUACCAGUGUGGGGGGCCUUCCUCUCAGAACCCCUACGCAUCGUCGG
rnacentral:rRNA from 1 species